GACGAACGCUGGCGGCGUGCUUAACACAUGCAAGUCGAACGGAAAUGCCCUGCUUUUGUGGGGUGCUCGAGUGGCGAACUGGUUAGUAACACGUUAGUAACCUGCCCUUGACUUUGGGAUAACUUCAGGAAACUGGGGCUAAUACCGGAUAGGAGCUCCUGCUGCAUGGUGGGGGUUGGAAAGUUUCGGCGGUUGGGGAUGGACUCGCGGCUUAUCAGCUUGUUGGUGGGGUAGUGGCUUACCAAGGCUUUGACGGGUAGCCGGCCUGAGAGGGUGACCGGCCACAUUGGGACUGAGAUACGGCCCAGACUCCUAAGGGAGGCAGCAGGGGGGAAUAUUGCACAAUGGGCGGAAGCCUGAUGCAGCAACGCCGCGUGCGGGAUGACGGCCUUCGGGUUGUAAACCGCUUUCGCCUGUGACGAAGCGUGAGUGACGGUAAUGGGUAAAGAAGCACCGGCUAACUACGUG
rnacentral:rRNA from 1 species